GGAGAGGGUUCUCAGGACGGAGUGGGGUUGGUGCCGCGGGGGAGGAUCGGGCCUUGGGCUAGAGCGGGGGGCAAAGUCCAGGCACCGGUGGCCCUCCCACUUUUAGGGAGCUUCCUGCACGUGCCCCAGCCUCCCCAAACACAAGAGGCUUACAGCAGUGUUGCAAUAGAUAGUCUUGGCUGACUGAGUCAGACUCUUACUAGACAGAAGACAAAUGGAGAAGGAAAGAAAAGAGAAGAAAUAAGGUGUCAGAUAAAGAUGGAGUGUCUCUUUGACCCUUAUGUUCCAAAGGAAUUGUCUUUGUCCUAAAAGUCAGGAAGGCCUCCUGCACAGGAGCGAAGGAGCAACAAGCAUAAGGAGCAGAAAAGAGUCUGCAGAGUGCUUCACUUGAGAGCAAGACACCCCUCUAUCCAACUUUAAUUCUUCAGCAUCUACGUUUGAAGGCCAAGAAGAGAUUUUCAGGUGGGAAAGGAGACCCAAGGGAUGGAUAAGAAACCAUCAGGGGGAGGGGAACUCUGUGAGAACAAGACAGUGUAGAAACCCUCUGAGUGACAGGCACAUUCAGAAAGAAACAUGUCAGUAAGAGACUCCGAAGCAAGAGACUGGAUUCUGGAGCUAAAUAAACGGAGGCAUCUUGAUUGUAACUACUUUUUUUAUUCUCCAAUUUUCUUUUCCCUGACUUAUUCCUCAGCCUGACAUUUUUGUGGUCAUUUUUGGAUCCAGUCGUACAAGGUGCUGAACAUGAUCAACUCCUGGUGGCUUAACUGGCUCUUGUCACUUUGCAGGGCAAGUCCCUCUGGGGCUGUCACAUUCUGUAGCACGUAACUACGAAUGGUAAUUUGAAAAAAACCCAACUUGCUUGAAUGGAAUUUGCCAUCCUUUCUAUUUGUCUUCCAACAACAUUCAUAGGAGAAUUUUUUUCCCCUUUAGAAAAAGAGAAAGGAAAGACAGUCUUCUACUUCAGGCACUAGGACUAGCCUCAAGAGAGUGAGGUUCAAUUUCCCUCUCUGCUUUCUAAUAAGAAAAUGAUAACAAAUGUACAGAGCCUCAAGGAUUCACAUUGCUUUGCAUCAAUGCUAUUCAAAUGCAUCCUCACAAAGAACUCUGAACUGUUAUUUCUAGACAAAGCAUAUUUGCUUUAAUACAAAAAUAAAUCUGCUGUUAGAAAAUUAAAAUCAGCUCAAGGUUUUUUGCUAUAUAUCUAUAUGAACAUACACACACAAAAACAUACGUAGAGAGAAUCAUGAAGACUUGACUGUAUAAAGACUUAUUUCAAGAACUGAGGGGGCUCUUCUACUGUUUUAGAACCUUGGCCAGCAUGCCACGCUGCCAAGGCUGUCCUCUUCUGGCACAUAGUGGAAGGCAUGAGUCCAUACACAUUAGCAAGUGAUCAGAUGCCAAUGGAAAAUCAUUUCACAGUCAAUUUACUUCACGAAAAAGAAAUUUCUAAAUCAAAUCAGUGGCACCUGCUACACUUUCUAUGCCAUUUUUCAUAAAAUCAGGUUUCUUAGAUAUCUAAAACUAUUUAAAGCCAUUUACUUAAUGCGACAUAUUAUGGUUGCUUUUUAUUUAUUUUUGCAACUUCAAUUCAUUUAGACAGAAUCUGAUUCUGUAGCCUUUGAGAAGCCACAAGAAUUCCAUGAGAAGCCAACUGGACUGCAGAACCUGAACAACAAAAUUUCAAAAUAUCAAAUUUUGGGGAACCAUUACAUAGCCACACGCACACAUAAAAGUUAUGUUAAACAACAUUAUAAAGGUUGCAAAGUUAAACACUCAAAAAAGUUAGGAAAUGUCUGAACUGAGGUUGCCUGUGCAUAUGUAUUAUGAUACAGUCUUUAGUUACAUGAUCAAAUACUAUUUUUUUCCAUGGGACUCCUGCCUCCUGCCCUCUCUUCCCCCAACUAGCUCCCAGCCUCACCCCCAUCAUUCCCUCCUUGGCUCCCAAUCCCAAUCUCCUUGCCCAGCCAGUCUGAAUCUCCUGCCCAGCCUCCCAGUCCCAUUCUCCCCCCUCCACUCGCAGUUCCUUCUCCAACCCACCAGUCCCCAGUCCCACUCCUUCCCUAAUUCCUUGUCCCAAUCUACAACCCCACAAAAUUCCAACUCUUCUCCCGUCUGCAUUUGAGUCAGGUAACUUCCUCCUCCUCACUGCCUAGGGAUCAGGUGGGGGGCUUUGAGAGUGCAGGAGAGAGAGGCUGCCUGCUCUCAGUUCCACUGCCCAGACUCAGCAUAGCCUAGGCUAUCCAGGAACUGCAAUGGCAGGGAAAAUCCUGUGCAGCCUUGGGCUGGAGUAUGCCCAGCGCAGUUGGAAUCUUCAGGGUCCCGGCUCUAAAGCAUGGGGUGAUGGGGAAUAGAUCGGAAAUGGCUGAACUGUUUUGGCUGAAAUUAAAAGAAAAAACACCAAGAAAACAAAUCAGCCUGAGGCAACACAUGGGGGGCAUGGGUGAAAUCCUGGCCCCACUGAAAUCAAUGGCAAAACUCCCAUUGACUUCAAUACAGCCAAAUUUCAGGCUCAAAAUACUUCCAAAAUGAUUUUGUCAUCCAAGGUCUGCUCUUCCUCUUAUUUAAAUCAAUAGCAAAAGUUUUAUUAAUGUCAAUGGUGCUGGGUCUGGGUCAGGUGCCAAGUGCAGGACUAAUUUCAAGAUUAAUCAAGGAAGGAGAUUCAUUAAACAAACUGUGUAUGACACUAACCUUUAACUGGUGAAGUAUGAUUGCAGAGAAUAAUAAACUAGAAAAUUACCAAUGUACUUAUAUGAGCUACACUGAACCAGAAUUGCAAAGGACUUCCUAUAUGCUAUUUAAAAAAAGAAGGAGAUUUCUGAUCAUCCUGUAGUAUAAGAGAGAGGUCAGGUGUUAAAGAACUUUGAGCUGGAAAAGUCUCAUAAGCUGUCUAUUCUAUACCCAUGCCAAUAGAGUUUCAUCAACAUAGGAGGGUUGUUUGUCAUAAUUUAUUUAGCUCAAUGAUCAUUUUGAGUUAAUAGUAUUCCUGAAUCUGGCAAGUGAAGUGUUGUGAAUGAGUCUUUGGCUAAGCAGAAGGUUUAUAAACAGGAAACGAGUGCAAUAACUUUGGAAGCUCAGAAUAACUGAGAGGAGAAUAUAGCUUAGAUGUCAUAAGAGUUCAAGGUAGAGGGGAUGUAGUGGAAGGAUGAAGGUUAGUGUGUUGCCAAGCCUGUGUUGCGCUACAACCAGUUAAAUCUCUGCAUAGGGGAACAAAUGUGAUAAACGGUGGGUUGGAAGACAGAGUGGGAGCAAAGAUUAACCAGUGUCAGGACAAGAGUAAAAUGCUCUACUUGGGAGCAAAAUGCAAGUAACAUGAAAAACUGCAUCCCAAAAUCUAGUAAAUGCUUUUCAAAGUGCAUGAAGGUAAUGUAGCUUGGUCCAGAUGAAAGUUUGACUUACAAAGUUCCUAGAAUCCCCAUGAAUAUAAAUCAUUUUAGAGUUCAUGGCAAAUUUUUAUGUUUGUGCAAACACGUUGGACAAUGAAACCAAACCAAUGUCACUGUUUUUAUCAUUUCAGUGUUCCGUUCUAAUAAAUUAUCUAUUUUAUAUUAGUGCAGAAUUCAAUUAAAUCCUUCUGGCAUCCCCACUUGGUAAAUGAUGCUUCUCCUUAAAUAAAACCUCUUACAAAUGUUUUACUAUACAGCUGGAGAAUAAAGGUAAGGUUAUAAUCAAUUUUACUAUUAUAAAUAUCUAACGGAUGUCCAAGAAAGACUAGUCAUUGGAUAGAGUGACAAAUAGGUAGCACUUCAGAUUAUGAAAUCUUGUUGAAAUUCUACAUUAGCCUGGUUCCUUUUUGGUGCCUAAUCACACAAGUAAGAUCACCUCUAUUCUUCUCUGACAUUCUUGUCUUUACCACCAGCAAAUGCAUUUCUAAAUGUCUUUGACUAGUGAAAAAUUCCUUCUGCCACAGUCUCAGGAUGGUAGCUCAACAAUUUAGGCAUUAAAUGUAACUGACACACAAGUUCCAGGAAACAAGUUCAGAAAUCCUUCUUCAGAGACUUAAAGGGCCUGAUUCAAUCCUGAGAUUCUUUCCACUGAUUUCAGUGGGCACUGCUGGACCAGGCCAAAUCCUGCCUCCUACUUUGCAACCACAGAGGAUGCUGACUAAGCGGAAAUAGUACCAGUCUGGAACAAAAUCAGAAGGCAGGAUAUGGAGACUUAUGCAGAUGGUUGACACCCACUGCAUGAUACGGAGCUGUAGCUCAUAGGUUUGCCUUUACUAUAUUCACAGCCUUGCCUUCAUUAUAUUUGUCUGAUUUCAUUAUAUUCAGCUGUAAUGCAAGAAACUUAUAGUAUCCUGUAAGACGUUAGCAUAAGUGUGGUUAAGUAGGCCAUAACACUUGGCAUAGGUCAACAGGUACAUUUAGAUUUUAGGAACUAAGGAGAGCUUGCUCAAUGGUAGGAGACAGAAUGUUCCAGUAAGUGCUACUGCAAGGAACAUGGAGGUAUUAACUGCAAAGUUUAAGCAAGGGGUGACAGAUAUGAUCAUGAGCUGAAAUGGUAGUUACAUGUAUCAGUAUACUAACCUAUAGAAGGAGGACACCUCAACAUUAAUAGGAUGAUGAAAUACAAAUAAGGAAAAAGGGAAAAACCCCUACUGAAUAUGCAUUAGAUAUAGUGGUGUCAGCAUAGCAUAGUAUAAAAGUUGCCUCCCAGCCUGUGGAUGUAGGAAAUAGAGAGAGAUGUAGCCUUUGGAAGGGGCCAGAAUGAUGGUCCAUGGUUAUGAGGAGAAAGGUGAUGGUGAUGAGGAAGAUAGUGGCUAACAUUUUAGGUCCUCCUGCAAUGGAUGGUGUGAGUAUAUGGGUGUGCAAAUAUACAUUCUGUAGUCUCUCUAUCUACCUUACUGAGUUAGAGUGUUUGUGACUUUGCUAAAUGUAUUAAUAAACUAUUUGGAAAUACA